GGGUCUCACUAUGUUACCCAGGCUGUAGUGCAGUGAUGCAAUCUCUGCUCACUGCAGCCUCGACCGUCUAGGCUCAAGCAACUCUCCUGCCUCAGCCUCUCAAGUAGCUGGGACCAGAGGCGUGCACCACCACGUCUGACCAUCUGUAUUUUUUUAAUAGAGACACGGUUUUGCCAUGUUGCCCAGGCUGGUCUUGAACUCCUGAGCUCAAAGCGAUCCACCUGCCUUGGCCUCCCAAAAUGCUGGGAUGACAGGCAUGAGCCACUGCGCCCGGCACCAGGUCAUGUUUUUUUGUUGUUGUUCAGCCAAGUUUGAGAUUCCCUGAGCCAGGCAAAUGUCAACUGCAGUUUCCAGCCCUCAGCAUCUACACCUCUGGCGUCUUUCAUACAGGAUCAUUUCAAACACCUUGUACUUCCCAGAGGUUCUGCUAAGCCGUGGAGCCCAGACAGAUGUGUUUCUGAAUGGGAGUGACUUCCUCCAUUAAACCAGGAUCGCAGCAUGCGUUCAUCUGAAAAGUGUUUCCAAACAGCCAGGACUAUGCACCAAAUCUUCAGUUCUAAAAAUAUCUCCACCUCUGUACAGUUGCACAUCAUCCAAGAGCCUUUUGCAGCUUGAAGCUCUUGCAAGAAGUGCCAGCUGCUCUUUUAUUUUUAAUUUUUUAUUUUAUUUAUUUUUUAGAGGAUUCUGACUGUUUCGCCCAGGCUGGAGUGCAGUGGCACAAUCUCAGCUCACUGCAACCCUCGCCUCGCAGGUUCAAGUGAUUCUGUCGCCUCAGCCUCCCGAGUAGCUGGGAUUACAGGCGCCCACCCCCACGCCCAGCUAAUUUUUUUUUUUUUUUGUAUUUUUAGUAGAGACGGAGUUUCGCCAAGUUGGCCAGGCUGGUCUCGAACUCCUGGCCUCAAGUGAUCACCCCGUCUCUGCCUCCCAAAGUGCCGGGAUUACAGGCGUAAGCCACCACGCCCGGCCGCAGCUGCUCUUCAUCAUCGUCAUAAAGGUAGUUCCAAGUACAGGCUCUGGAUGGGGUGACAGGAUGUCUCCUAUCUCCUAAAGCUGACAAUUGAUACCGCUGACUGAACAAGCACUCUGGAAAAUGACAGACACCGCAUUCCCCAGGCUGACAGAUGAGCUGUGAGAGCGAUCCGAAUGUUGUAUGACUCCAGCCUCACACUAUUCCUCUGUGUUUCAUGGUAACCCUUAUGUGACCGUUCCUCCCAGGGAAACCAAGAGCAUAAUUCUGGAGAAGUUCGCCUGUGUUCCUUGAUACUUGAUUGUGCCAUUUCCUGGACACUGUGCAAUUUCCUGGAGACACUUCCCAGCAGGGGAAACUGCGUGGAUUGUUG
rnacentral:lncRNA from 1 species